rnacentral:rRNA from 1 species
GCGCACCAGGCGCGAAACCUCUACAAUGUGCGAAAGCAUGAUAGGGGGACUCCAAGUGUCUCGCUAAAGAGAGACUUUUGUAGUAUGUAAAAAGUACUACGAAUAAGGGGUGGUCAAGACUAGUGCCAGCCUCCGCGGUAACACUAGCAGCCCGAGUGGUAGUCAUUUUUAUUUGGCUUAAAGCGUCCGUAGUCUGAUUAGUAAGUUCUCUGUGAAAUCCUGUUGCUUAACAAUAGGGCUUGCAGAGAAUACUACCAAUCUUGGAGCCAGGAGGGGUUAGGGGUAUUCCGGGGGUAGCGGUGAAAUGCUAUAAUCCCCGGAGGACCACCAAUGGCGAAGGCACCUAACUGGAAUGGGCUCGACGAUGAGGGACGAAAGCUAGGGGAGCAAACCGGAUUAGAUACCCGGGUAGU